GACGAACCGUGCGAACGUUAUUCGGAAUCACUGGGCUUAAAGCGCGUGUAGGCGGGACGGCACGUCUGUCGCUGAAAUCCCCCGGCUUAACCGGGGAACUGGCGUAGAUGCGACCGUCCUGGAGGGGCGUAGGGGGACCUGGAACUUCCGGUGGAGCGGUGAAAUGCGUUGAGAUCGGAAGGAACGCCCGUGGCGAAAGCGAGGUCCUGGACGCCUACUGACGCUGAGACGCGAAAGCCAGGGGAGCGAACGGG
rnacentral:rRNA from 1 species